CCUACGGGAGGCAGCAGUGGGGGAUAUUGGACAAUGGGCGCAAGCCUGACCCAGCGACGCCGCGUGAGCGAAGAAGGCUUUCGGGUUGUAAAGCUCUUUUUUCAGGGACGAAGAAAGGGACGGUACUGUGCGAGUAGCACUGGCCUAAUAAGUGCCAGCAGCCGCGGUAAUUCGGUGGGUGGAAGCGUUAUCCGGGUUUAACGGGUGUAAAGGGAGUGUAGGGGGCACUGCAAGGCAGAUGUGAAAGCCCGCGGCGCAACCGGGGGACUGCAUUGGGAACUGCUGGGCUUGAGUGCCGGAGAGGUAGGCGGAAUUCCUAGUGUAGCGGUGAAAGGCGUAGAUAUUAGGAGGAACACCAGUGGCGAAGGCGGCCUGCUGGACAGCGACUGACGCUGAGGCGCGAAAGCGUGGGGAGCAAACAGGAUUAGAUACCCGGGUAGUC
rnacentral:rRNA from 1 species